rnacentral:rRNA from 1 species
AGACCGGUUUAUUGGUCGUGCUUUUGUACGUACUGGUAUUAUUGGUUUCUCCUUUCUGACGAAUCUUAAUGCCAUUAAUUUGGUGUUUUGGGAAUCGAGGACUGUUACUUUGAAAAAUUAGAGUGUUUAAAGCAGGCUCACGCUUGAAUACAUUAGCAUGGAAUAACGGAAUAGGACGUUUGAUUCUAUUUUGUUGGUUUCUAGGAUCGACGUAAUGAUUAAUAGGGAUAGUUGGGC